rnacentral:rRNA from 1 species
GAUGAACGCUAGCGGCAGGCCUAAUACAUGCAAGUCGAACGGUGUCUUCGGACAUAGUGGCGCACGGGUGCGUAACACGUAUGCAACCUACCUUACAUUGGGGGAUAGCCUUUCGAAAGGGAGAUUAAUACCGCAUAAGACAGUAGCUGGGCAUCCAGCAGCUGUUAAAGAUUUAUCGAUGUAAGCUGGGCAUGCGUCCAAUUAGCUAGUUGGUGAGGUAACGGCUCACCAAGGCAAUGAUUGGUAGGGGAACUGAGAGGUCAAUCCCCCACACUGGACCUGAGAUACGGGCCAGACUCCUACGGGAGGCAGCAGUAGGGAAUAUUGGGCAAUGGACGCAAGUCUGACCCAGCCAUGCCGCGUGCAGGAUGAAGGCGUUAUGCGUUGUAAACUGCUUUUAUACAGGAAGAAACGACUCUUGCGAGAGGCAUUGACGGUACUGUAUGAAUAAGCACCGGCUAACUCCGUGCCAGCAGCAGCCGCCGUAA